rnacentral:rRNA from 1 species
GUACGUGAAACCGUUCAGGGGUAAACCUGAGAAACCCGAAAGAUCGAAUGGGGAGAUUCAUCGUCAACGGGGACGGCUUCCAUGCGGUACGCGAUGAUGUCGAGCCCUUCGGGGCUUGAUUCACGCUUCCGCCGUGGUAUGCGUCCGUUCUCGUCGGCGUGCACUUCUCCCCUGGUAGAACGUCGCGACCCGCUGGGUGUCGGUUUAAGGACCGAGGAUCGUCGACUGUACCGUCGCUUCGUUGCGCUACGCGUGCAGACGCCUUGGCUCCCGACCGACUGCUCCGGCGGUAUAAUUCUCAAUGGUAUUGAGCCGCAUUUGAAUGCGUUCAGACUCGUUGCAAGCUCUUGUCAUUUGCCCGGAUGUGCGGACCUGGUGCCGUACCUGGGGAUGAUUGGCUGUUGGUUGACGAUGCUCUCGAACCGGCUCACCGGCGCCGGCGCCCCUUUAAACCGGGGGCCGUCGGUGCCUCGUACCUGUCGGCGACGCUAUUGCUUUGGGUACUUUCAGGACCCGUCUUGAAACACGGACCAAGGAGUCUAACAUGUGCGCGAGUCAUUGGGAUUCAAACAAACCUAAAGGCGCAUUGAAAGAGAAGAUCGUCCUUGCGACGAUCGAGGGAGGAUGGGCGGACGUUCUUCUUAGACGCAAGCCCCGCACUCCCGGGGCGUCUCGCGGUCA